AGCGAACGCUGGCGGCAGGCUUAACACAUGCAAGUCGAGCGGACCCUUCGGGGUCAGCGGCGGACGGGUGAGUAACGCGUGGGAACGUGCCUUCCGGUUCGGAAUAACCCUGGGAAACUAGGGCUAAUACCGGAUACGCCCUUAUGGGGAAAGGUUUACUGCCGGAAGAUCGGCCCGCGUCUGAUUAGCUAGUUGGUGGGGUAACGGCCUACCAAGGCGACGAUCAGUAGCUGGUCUGAGAGGAUGAUCAGCCACACUGGGACUGAGACACGGCCCAGACUCCUACGGGAGGCAGCAGUGGGGAAUAUUGGACAAUGGGCGCAAGCCUGAUCCAGCCAUGCCGCGUGAGUGAUGAAGGCCUUAGGGUUGUAAAGCUCUUUUAUCCGGGACGAUAAUGACGGUACCGGAGGAAUAAGCCCCGGCUAACUUCGUG
rnacentral:rRNA from 1 species